rnacentral:rRNA from 1 species
UAUAGUUUAUUUGAUGUUUCUUGCUACAUGGAUAACUGUGGUAAUUCUAGAGCUAAUACAUGCGUAAAAAGCCCCGACUUCUGGAAGGGGUGUAUUUAUUAGAUAAAAACCAUCCUCCUCGGAGUUUGGUGAUUCAUAAUAACUUCUCGAAUCGCACGGCCUUGUGCUGGCGAUGCUUCAUUCAAAUAUCUGCCCUAUCAACUGUCGAUGGUAGGAUAGAGGCCUACCAUGGUUGCAACGGGUAACGGGGAAUAAGGGUUCGAUUCCGGAGAGGGAGCCUGAGAAACGGCUACCACAUCCAAGGAAGGCAGCAGGCGCGCAAAUUACCCAAUCCCGACACGGGGAGGUAGUGACAAUAAAGAACAAU